GACGAACGCUGGCGGCGUGCUUAACACAUGCAAGUCGAACGGAAAGGCCCUGCUUUUGUGGGGUGCUCGAGUGGCGAACGGGUGAGUAACACGUGAGUAACCUGCCCUUGACUUUGGGAUAACUUCAGGAAACUGGGGCUAAUACCGGAUAGGAGCUCCUGCUGCAUGGUGGGGGUUGGAAAGUUUCGGCGGUUGGGGAUGGACUCGCGGCUUAUCAGUUUGUUGGUGGGGUAGUGGCUUACCAAGGCUUUGACGGGUAGACGGCCUGAGAGGGUGACCGGCCAAAUUGGGACUGUGAUACGGCCCAGACUCCUACGGGAGGCAGAAGUGGGGAAUAUUGCACAAUGGGCGGAAGCCUGAUGCAGCAACGCCGCGUGCGGGAUGACGGCCUUCGGGUUGUAACCCGCUUUCGCCUGUGACGAAGCGUGAGUGACGGUAAUGGGUAAAGAAGCACCGGCUAACUACGUG
rnacentral:rRNA from 1 species